CCUACGGGUGGCAGCAGUGAGGAAUAUUGGUCAAUGGACGCAAGUCUGACCCAGCCAUGCCGCGUGCAGGAAGACGGCUCUAUGAGUGGUAAAUUGCUUUUGUACGAGGGUAAACGCAGAUACGCGUAUCUGUCUGACAGUAUCGUACGAAUAAGGGUCGGCUAACUCCGUGCCCGCAGCCGCGGUACUACGGAGGAUUCAAGCGUGAUCCGGAUUUAUUGGGUUUAAAGGGUGCGUCGGCGGUCGGAUAAGUUAGAUGUUAAAUCCCGAGGCUAAACUUCGGUAUUGCCUCUGAUACUGUUCGGCUAGAGAGUAGUUGCGGUAGGCGGAAUGUAUGGUGUAGCGGUGAAAUGCUUAGAGAUCAUACAGAACACCGAUUGCGAAGGCAGCUUACCAAGCUACUUCUGACGUUGAGGCACGAAAGCGUGGGGAGCAAACAGGAUUAGAUACCCUGGUAGUC
rnacentral:rRNA from 1 species